rnacentral:rRNA from 1 species
GACGAACGCUGGAGGCGUGCUUAACACAUGCAAGUCGAACGAUGAAAUGGAGCUUGCUCCAUGGAUUAGUGGCGAACGGGUGAGUAACACGUGAAUAACCUGCCCUUAAUUUUGGAAUAACCCAGGGAAACCUGGGCUAAUACCGGAUAAGUAAACCUGUGGCAUCACAUGGUUUUGGAAAGUUUUUCGAUUAAGGAUGGAUUCGCGGCCUAUCAGCUUGUUGGUGAGGCAAUGGCUCACCAAGGCGACGACGGGUAGCCGGCCUGAGAGGGUGAGCGGCCACACUGGGACUGAGACACGGCCCAGACUCCUACGGGAGGCAGCAGUGGGGAAUAUUGCGCAAUGGACGAAAGUCUGACGCAGCGACGCCUCGUGAGGGACGAAGGUCUUCGGAUUGUAAACCUCUUUCAGCAGGGACGAAGCGAAAGUGACGGUACCUGCAGAAGAAGCACCGGCUAACUAUGUGCCAGCCGCCGCCGUAA